rnacentral:lncRNA from 1 species
UUAUUGACCAUGUUGUAAACCAUGGUCUCUCUCUUUGAGAGAGGCCGGUUUAAGGGUGCAGCCAAAUCUGCAGCAUUCAACAGUUGCAUCAAUAGUAUGAAUUUUACGGCAAAACAACAGUAGGAUCCAAAGGUUGCCUCCCACAGGAGGGAGAGGCAGAAUAUUACCAGAUGCGCAGAAAAUUGCCAUUGUUCACAUUGUAAUUGGCAACAAUGCAAUAAAACCGCUGGGAAAUUCGGGACAGAGUGCUGGCAGACAAUAAAAUAUAAAAAUGAGGAUUAAGAACUCCGGUAUCAAUAUGGCCAGCUGGAUUCAACCUGGCAAAAACACACCGCAGGGGAAGAAAUGUGAUUGGACAGAGAGAACCGUGGAUGUCCCAGGCCAGAGAGGAGCUAACAUCACAAUGUGUGCAGCACUGUCCAAUGAUGGUGUGCUGUUACACAAACUACUCAUUGGCCCCUACAAUACAGAGAGGCUCAUUUAUUUUCUGGAUGACCUGCAUAAUCGACUUGUGCCAGCAGAGGAGAAAGGGGCAAGAAACUCCCCUACCUUUGUUGUUGUGUGAGAUAAUGUGGCAUUCCACCACUCUGCUACGGUCACAGACUGGUUUGCUGCACAUCCCAGGA